rnacentral:rRNA from 1 species
GAUGAACGCUAGCUACAGGCUUAACACAUGCAAGUCGAGGGGUAACGAGAGGAAAGCUUGCUUUCCUUGUCGACGACCGGCGCACGGGUGAGUAACGCGUAUCCAACCUGCCCCCAACUAGGGAAUAACCUUGCGAAAGUAAGACUAAUACCCUAUAAUUUCCUCAGAUGACAUAUGACGAGGAAUAAAGAUUUAUCGGUUGUGGAUGGGGAUGCGUCGGAUUAGCUUGUUGGCGGGGUAACGGCCCACCAAGGCAACGAUCAGUAGGGGUUCUGAGAGGAAGGUCCCCCACAUUGGAACUGAGACACGGUCCAAACUCCUACGGGAGGCAGCAGUGAGGAAUAUUGGUCAAUGGGCGGAAGCCUGAACCAGCCAAGUAGCGUGCAGGAUGACGGCCCUAUGGGUUGUAAACUGCUUUUAUACAGGAAUAAAGUUAGCCACGUGUGGUUAUUUGUAGGUACUGUAUGAAUAAGGACCGGCUAAUUCCGUGCCAGCAGCCGCCGUAAGAC